AAACUUUUACUCUCUCCUGCGCUUGCGCAGCCUCUUCUUCUCCGAUCCCGACUCCAACUCUCCCUCUCUCCUUCGCCUGGCACAUCCUCGGCAGCGUGGCAGCCUGCUUCUUCACCGGCGCGGCGGCCUGCUUCUUCGACGACGCGGAGGCCUGCAGCGGCCUACCGAGCGGACGGAUCCGCGGACGAACGGAUCUCCGGCGCCUGGCAGAUCUUCGGCGCGCGGCCUACCGGUUGUGGACGGAUCUCCGCUGCCUGGUGCCCUGGUAUAUCCUCGGUGUCGCGGCUUGCUUCUUCACCGGCGCCGCGGCCUGAUUCUUCGAAGGCACAGCGACCUGAUUCUUCGACGGAGCGGCCUGCCGGUUUUGUCCAGGCAGGCAGACGCGGCAGCCUACCGGUCUUCUCCAGGCGGGUGGAUCUCCAGCGCUCCUCGAGCUAGAGCAGGCAGGCGUGCCGGUCUUCCCCAGGCGGGUGGAUCUUCACCGGCGUGGCGGCCUACCGGGCGGACGGAUCCGCGGUCGAUCUCCGGCUGCUCCGUGCCUCUGCUGCUCCGUGGCCUGAGCUCCGGGCGGACGGAUCCGCGGUCCAGUGACUCUGCUGCCUCUGCUGCUCCGUGUCUACAGCGGAUCCGUGCCUCUGCUGCUCGACAUCCUGAGCUCCGGCCGUCUCGCGCUGGUGCUUGCUCCUUGAAUCCGCACACAUGUGAUUGGUCAAAUAAAUUUUCUUUGUCAAAACAUAUGUCACUUACAUAUGGCGCAGUGGAUUGUGUCAGUGGUAAGGUGUUUAGGGUGUUGGGUUCGAUCCUUCUAGGGUCUAUUUUUUGCAAUUUGUCCAAUUAAAUUCACCUAUAAACUUUUGCAUAA